rnacentral:rRNA from 1 species
GGGGGGUACUAGAGAUCGCGAGUGCCAGUGGCCUGAGGCUAAACGGCCGCGGUAUCUUGACCGUGCAAAGGUAGCAUAAUCACUUGUCUUUUAAAUGGAGACUCGUAUGAACGGCGGAACCUUUUUCAACUGUCUCUUCCCCCACCCUUCUAAAUUCUUUCCUGUGUGAAGAAACCCAGAUACAUCAGAAAGACGAGAAGACCCUGUCGAGCUUUAACCACUAGGUGAGUUUACUUAUCCCUUUUUAAAUAUCACCAAAAGGUUUUGGUUGGGGCAACCACGGAGAAAAAAAAUCCUCCAGAUUAAAUAGAAGAAAACUCUUCACUAUUACGCUUUCAAGAACCAGGAACUGGUAAUCGGAAAAAGUUACCGCAGGGAUAACAGCGUUAUCUCCUCUAAGAGUCCUUAUUGACGAGGAGGUUUGCGACCUCGAUGUUGGAUUGGGGCCCCCUUAGGGUGCAGAAGCUCUAAACGGUUAGACUGUUCGUCUAUUAAAGCCCUACAUGAUCUGAGUAAAAACCCGGGAGAAAGAAUAGGGAAA